rnacentral:lncRNA from 1 species
CUCGCACCGGCGCUGGGGUGCAGGCUUUCAGUGGUCUCAGGGCUACGGCUUGUCGGUGCCUCGCCGCACAGUCCCCUUUGCAUUGAAGGACACGGUCUUACGGUGUAGGAGCAUUUUUGAGGUGCAUUCCUGGAUUUGGAGGCGAACCCCCAAUGGUUACCUCCACAGAGGCUUUGCGAAGGGCGCUCACUGACUUAGGUGAAGAGCGAAGGCUCAAGACUGUGCCGCUUUAUAGUGGCCCCUUGACGUCCAGAAGUUCCCCCCAGCGCCGGUCAUAAGCACUCCCGCCGCCUGGGCCCCGCCCUGCCUGCCAGGCGCCCUCCAGCCUCAGCUCCCGGACGCCCGGCGUGGCCGCUUUCUCGCGUCUUGCUGACCCGGGCCGGGGGCGUGUGCUCCUCCUGCAGCGGACGGAAGAUGCUGGGCCACGCAAGUUUCCCUGGGCUUGGUUAACCACCCCAAAGCCCAUUUCCAGAAGGAAAGGGUGUUGAGGAGGAGGGAUAGAAAGUCGAGAAGAGGGCCGGGUGAGUGGCUCACGCCUGUCAUCCCAGCACUUUGGGAGGCCGAGACAGGCGGAUCACCUGAGGUCAGGACUUAGAGACCAGCCUGGCCUACAUGGUGAAACCCCGUCUCUACUAAAAAUACAAAAAUUAGCCGGGUGUGGUGCCGUGCGCCUGUAGUCCCAGCAACUCGGGAGGCUGAGGUAGGAGAAUCGCUUGAACCCGGGAGUCGGAGGUUGCAGUGCUGAGAUGGCACCUGGCCUGGGCGGCAAGAGCGAAACUCCAUCUCAAAAAAAAAAAGAAGAGGAAAUGAGGCAUAGGGGCAGGCGAGCCGGGAAAAUAUUGCUACUAAGGAUCCUAAGCAGUGAACAUGCUGUUAAUACUUGUAAGACUCCUAGCAAACUGCAUUUAAUUUUUUAAAUUAGUUUUAGUGUACAUAAAGGCAUGUCUUUUCCAAAUACUGUACUUUUUGAAGUGUUCUUUGUUGUUCAUUAAUCUUUGUGCGUUUCCCUUCAGUCUCUAAUAGUAGGUUGUAGCAUGAUUUGCUUCCAUCGUGUGAAUUCUGUUCGGUUUUGAUUUUCAAGUAUGAGAGUGAGCGUAAGCUACCCUUAUAGGUUACCUAAGGUAAGUUAGAAUUAGAACGUCUUUAUGCUAGGGUUACUACUCCCCACCAUAACCAACCAUCUGCAAAAGCGUUCAGAAAGAACAUGCUAGCAAGGUCAAAAGCUUCAAAUCACGAAAUAAGAACUUGAAAACGAGCAAAAUUGCUGCUGAGGCGCUCUGCCAUUUAACUCAAAGGCUUCACUUUAUUUAGGUUUAAAGUAUGAGUGCAUAUUCAGUGGACAUUGAGCUCCGAACUGUUCAAAAUCUCUAUUCAUCUGCAUUCUGGAGUAGAGCUGCGGGUCACAUUAUUAGCUCCAUCUUUGGAUUUCUGCCUGGACCCAGGGCACUCCUAACCGUUGUGGGAUCAUAUAACAAUCUUACAGGAUGAAUUUUCUGUUAGUCCAAGCAGAAAUUUUGGCACAUGAAAACUAUCUUACCAUAAACAAACAAAAAAAGUACAAAUGGUAAUCUAAGGAAAAUAGCUAAAAUCAUUAAACAACUCUUACAGCCGUUUCCCCUGUUUUCUCUCCAUUUUUUAAAAGCAUAUUUUCCUUUACUUUCUUCCUUCUGCUAUGGGAAUUUUUCAGGGUUCUAGACCUUUUUUCUCUUCUGCGGCUGGAAAGUUAAACACAGGUCAUUUUUUAAAUAAGACUGCUAGUAAAUACCUUCUUAAUAAACAACACCAAAUGCUAGUCUUGUGGGUGAGUAGUUGAACAGCAAGUAAAGCACUCUAUCACCUGUAAUUUUCCUGUGGUAGGCACACCCCAUCUCUACCUUCACGUAAUUUCUGAUUAUGCCUCCAUACCUUACACAUAUAAUUCAUUUGUGGGUGGGGGCGACAGAGUCUUUUGCUCUUUUGCCCAGGCUGGAGUGCAGUGGCAACCUCUGCUCACUGCAACCUCCACCUCCCGGCUUCAAGCAGUUCUGCCUCAGCCUCCCAAGUAGCUAGGAUCACAGGAGCGCACCACCACCCCCUGCUAAUUUUUGUAUUUUUAGUAGAGAUGGGGUUUCCCCUGUUGGCUAGGCUGGCCUCAAACUCCGAUCUCAAGUGAUCCACCCGCCUCGGCCUCCCAAAGUGUUGGGAUUACAGGCAUGAGCCACCACGUCUGGCUAUAAUUCACUUCUUGUGUGUGACUUCCUACUAAUUUGUAAUCAUGAAAGUUGGGCACAUACCCAGUAUGCUCACUAUUUCUCUGCAGGGCCUGAUACAGUGGCUGCUACAACACUGAUACUCUGCAUUUGUUGAAUGAGUAAUUUAAAUUUUAAAUUAUCAUCUAGAAUCAUUUAGAGAUUUAUUUAGACUUUGAUAAAUUUAGAUAACCCACACACAGUUUAUUCCUAGAGUUCUUGAUACAUUGUUACAGUAAGUUUGGUCCUGGCAACAGCAAUAACACUUACUGUAAUAACUUAAUUCUUCAUACGAGGUUGCUUCACUUUUAUUAUUAAGCAGAAAAUACCCAAAGUAAAAUUGAGCUAUUUGGGACUCCUUUCAGAAUACUGUGUAGGCUGAAGCAUUGUUGUAUCAGAAGUGCUCUGUUAUUUGAAUGCAUAAGGUAUUCAACAAACAAAUGCUUAUUAAAUUAAAUGGUAUUCAGCAUACAGCUACUGUCACCGUGCUAGGAGUUCACAUUUUUCAUAUGCGUGGCAGUUAGCACUGGUGCAUGUUUCCUUCAGCCUCAGAAAUGGAGGUGUCUGCGUGUUGCCCAGAUCUACCUUGAAAACUCUAGUUGCUUCCUAACACCUAGGUUGUAUAGUGGGACUUGAUUAUGUUUUAUAAAGCCAAGUCUGGUCUGUGAGGACUGAAAGGAUUUCCUCAUCUUAACUCUAAUUUGGCCUGCAAUGUCUGGGGAAAACCCAAAACUAAAAUGUAACUAAAUGUGGAACUGUUUUUUUCUGCAGUUUGAUUUCCUUGUACCAUUUUCAGUACAGUUAAAUUCAUCACCUCCCCUACCUCACCAUCCCCCUCCCCCUGCAAAAAAAAAAAAAGCAAAAACAGAAGUAUUUUCUCUCUUAAAGAGAAUUGUCAUUGGCCAGGCACAGUGGCUCACGACUAUAGUCCCAGCCCUAUAGGAAGCAGAGGUGGGAGAAUCAUUUGAGCUCAGAAGUUGCAAGAUUUCAAGAUCAGCCUGAGCAACAUAGUGAGACCUCAUCUCUGCAAAAAAUUUAAAAAUUACCUGAGUGUGGUGAUGCAUGCCUGUAGUCCCAGCUAUUCCAGAAGCUGAGAUGGGAGGAUUACUUGAGCCCAGGAGUUAGUUUCUAAUUGGAUGUAGUCUGCACAGGCAGAUUUCAUUUUCAGUAUUAAAAAGGUCAGUAAUUUCUGAAAUAUUCACUUGACAAUUAAUAGGAUUAAAUGACUUUGGGAAAGCAUAAUUUUAUUUUAAAUUGCACAUAUAAUCCCUCAAUUACAUAGAUUUUAAUGCUAGGAUAAUCUUCCAAUAAAAGGAAAUAUAAGUUAUCAAAAAAUGAAUUUCUUUUAGAAAAAUAAGCAUUUAUAAUUUAUUGUCUACAGUAAACAAAAAGUGACUUUAACUCACAAGUUAAAAUUACUCUUAUAUGGUGCUUAAUCUAUAUAAAUAUCUUUCCUUUAUUAAAAAUUCUGCUUCUUAAAAAACAGAAUCAUGGAGUGGAGAAAAAGGAAAACUUCUGCUUGUAAACUUAAGUGCAUCAAAACUGUGGAUAAACAUCUUUUUAAUGUAUAUGUAAAAUUUAAUAUUUUUUAAAGAAUCUAUUAAAGUUCAAUAAACAUUUUCUGACACUAUGAUAGAUGCUGAGGAUAUUGCAAUAAUAUAUGAUAUAGCUUCUGUCUUAAUAAACUUACAUUCAAAUAAUAGAAGGAGGAAAGUGACCCUUGACAUAAUAGUAAGGGUACAAAUAAAAUACUCUUGCUCCAUAGUAGUGUUCCAUGGCAGAAGUCAAAUUUGAAUCAAGCUUUGAAAUUUGAAUAGAAUUUUUGAAUUAUGGAGAUAAAGAGAAUAGCUAUUUUAGGAACAUGGAAUAUAAAAGAAUAACGCUUACAUAGAUCAUUUGUUUUCAAAGAGCAGAGAUUAAUCUGAUUUAGCUAGAACAUAGAAUGCAAAAAGGAUAAUGGGAGCUAAGCCUAGAAAGAUAGACUGCAGCCAGAUUUUGGUGGUCAUUAGAUUGGAUGCAACAGCCAGCAAGGAGCCAAAACUUAAGUGUUCACUUUUAUGUAAAUGUAGCUGACGCAAGUACCUUGUAUUAGAACUAAAAAUUAUGCUGUAUAUAACUAUUACUGUAGUUAGGUGAAACCAUUUCAGAGUCUGCUUUAGUGAUUCAUAGUGUAAAUGAAGUUACUGUGUUUAUGUGUGUGUGUGUGUGCACAUUAUAUGUAUGUAUGUGUGUUUUUAAGUAUGACAUUUGAAUUCUGAAAUGAAGAUGAAAAAGGCUUUGGUCAGUAAACCUGUCUUUCUUGGUCAGAUACUGAACCACAGUAGUAAGUCCAGGCACUGAAAUGAUAAUUCAUAUGUAUGGAUUCUUCUUGGCUCUAGGUUGAUGAACAGAGCAAUUAUGAAGAGUUGACUAGAACCAACUGAUCUUUUUUUUUUUAAUUCCACUAAAUAGAAUAGUUUGCUAAAAAUAAUAGUAAAAAUAGGAGCUGUGACAACAAAUUCAUUAUUAGGGCAGAACAGAGACUUUGAAAUGAAAAAUCCUAAAACAAAAGCUAACCUCGAUAAUGAACUCUUUUUUCAGCAAAAAUACCUCAAAAUGUUAUUUCAAUUCUGUGUUCCUUCAAGGAGAUAUUUACAGAGCGUGAUCCACACCAAAGUCCCUGGAAAAGUGUUCAGUGUUGCCCAACUUGAAGGUCAUGGCUAAGUGAUAAAUGUAGUCUAAAAAACACAGGUGGUUGGAUCACACUGUUUCCACUGCCCCUGCUGCCAGGACUAGCUAUAAACCAGUGUGUAACAUGAGCAGCAUGUAUUGCAGCUAUCCUCCCUCCUUUCUUUUCCGUAACCUCAGUAAGCAGUGCCCUCAGGCUGCCUGCAGCUGUGCGGGUGCCCCCUCUAUGGUGUCAUCCAUGCCUUCUCCAUCAGUGCUGUCCUUUGACCCCACCUUUCUUCUCCUAAUCUGCAAUGUGUCCUGCUGGACACAGGACUCAGCUAGAACCAUGUUAGAAAGACCAUGUGAUAAAAAAAAAAAAGUUAAUGACAAGAUACUUAAUAUAUGAAAUCAGCUUUAUUUCCCUCCAGGAAUAUUUUUAUUUAAACAGUUCUUAAAAACUCAAUCUACAAUUUUUACAAAGGAAUUAAAUAAUGAUGUUCUAUUACUUAUAAGGAAUUUGAGGCCUCAGGAGUAAGCUAUAGCUAGAUUGUUUUAGGCAGGAGGACUUUCUGUGUUCUUAGCUUCCCUUGGUUUCUAAUUAAAAGGUUGGAAAAUGAGAUACAUCUCUGACAUAUUAGUUUAUAUAGUUGGCCUUCCAUAUCCAUGGGUUCCACACCAUAGAGUCAACCAACCACAGAUGGAAAAUAUUCCCCCCAAAAAUGGAUGGUUGCAUCUGUACUAAAUGUGUAGACUUUUGUUUGAUCAUUAUUCCCUAAACAAUACAUGCUGAAUUUCCUACCAGAGACAAAAGCUUCAGUCAUAUUUUUUAUAUACUUAUAUCUUAGGCAAGACUUUAAUAAACCAAGAAAUGGUUAAUUUUCACAAAAUAUAUGUUAAUAGACCAUUAAUGCCAGUGCAUGAAUUAGCUUAUGGUUUUUGUUCCUAGCUACCGUUUUUUGUUGUUGUAUUUUUUGGAGACAGAGUCUCACUCUGUUGCCCAGGCUGGAAUGCAGUGAUGUGAUCAUAGCUCACUGCAGUCUUGAACUCCUGGGUUUAAGCAAUCCUCCUGCCUCUGCCUCCUAAGCAGCUGGAACUACAUGCAUGUGCCACAUCAUGGAGCUAAUUUUUAAAUUCUUAGUAGAGAUGGAAGUCUCAUAAUGUUGCCCAGGCUGGUCUCAAACUCCUGGCCUCAAGUGAUCCUCCUGCCUCAGCCUCCCAAAGUGCUAGGAUUACUAGUGUCAGCCACCGUGCCUGCCCCUAGCUACUGUUUAAGUUCAGGAAUAUCAAAGAAAAAAAGCACCAGACGACUGGGCACGGUGGCUCACACCUGUAAUCCCAGCACUUUGGUAGGCCGAGGCAGGCGGAUCACGAGGUCAGGAGAUCGAGACCAUCCUGGCUAACACGGUGAAACCCCGUCUCUACUAAAAAUACAAAAAAUUAGCUGGGCGUGGUGGCGGGCACCUGUAGUCCCAGCUACUCGGGAGACUGAGGCAGGAGAAUGGCGUGAACCUGGGAGGCGGAGCUUGCAGUGAGCCAAGAUUGCGCCACUGCACUCCAGCCUGGGCGACAGAGUGACACUCCAUCCCCCCCCCAAAAAAGAAAAAGAAAACAAAAGCACCAGACAAGGUAAACAGGAAAGGAAGACUUCAUAUAACAUUUACAUUAUAUUAGAUAUUAUUAGUAAUCUAGACAUUAUUUAUCAUAUAUGGGAGGAUGUGCAUAGGUUAUAUGCAAAUACUACCGUAUUUUAUAUCAGGGAUUUGAGCAUCCAGAUGUUGGUAUCCAAGGGUGGGAAGUCCUGGAACCAACCCCCUAUGGAUACCGAGGGGCAACUGUAUUUUUAUUUUACACCUUUUUCUUUUCCCCUAAUGUAUUUUAGCAGAUAGCCAAUUGUGUGAUUCCUUGCCUUGGUGAUGUAAUGAAGUUUUUGGCAGGGCAAAAAGCAGACUUUUCUUGUACAGCAAUGACCCUAAUUUCCUCCCGACACUAUAAAUGGAAAAGAGGAAUAUGGAUUCAUUGAGCAGUAAAACAAGCCAAAAUCUGUUUACCAAACAGCAUCAUAGCAGGUGGCAAAACCUCAGGGGAAAUGGAUGCAUGCUACACAUAGGCAGGAGUUUUCCACUUGGGGUUUCCACCUUUGCCUCAUUUCCUCAUGCCCCACAUGUAGAAUCGAAUCUGCAGAACUUCCAGAACUGAAGGGUCCAUCCCAGCUAGGACAACAAGCCUCUCACAACCAAUGGCUUAUGACCCACAGAGCCUCCUCAAUGAUUUGACUAUAUGUGAGAUUCCAGAAUAUUUUAAUCAUCCUGUAGAUAGGAGACCUGAGAGUAUAACUCAAAGAAAAAUUUCUCGUUUGUUUCAAAAAAUAUGAGCUCAAAGUCAAAAAUAAUUUAUUAAUUAUUUUUAAAAAUUUAAAUAAUUAGAAUAUACUUGGCUUACCAGAUUUUCUAAACUGAGCUAUCCUCUUUGACUAGGCUAUAUUACCUUAUGAUCUAAAACUUAAACAAUCUCUUGUGGUUGUUUAAUGACAUUCCAACAUGUCAUGAGAAAAUAUUCUUGGAAAGCUGUCUGGUGGUCAGGGGUUCUCAACACCUCUACUUUUGCUUGCCACGUACUUCAGACGACCACACAGCCUGGUUUGCUCAAGUCAGUCCCAGUUUAUGACUGUUAUCCUGAUGGAAUGACUAAUGGUUUUCCAUGUCACUCUCAGAAGUGUCCAGGUUUGGAUGAUAAAUUAUAUAUAUAUAUCUCUCUCUGC